rnacentral:misc_RNA from 1 species
AAAAUACGAAAAGUAGUGUGAAUUGCAGAAUUCAGUGAAUCAUCGAAUCUUUGAACGCACAUUGCGCCCCUUGGUAUUCCAUGGGGCAUGCCUGUUCGAGCGUCAUUUGUACCCUCAAGCUCUGUUUGGUGUUGGGUGUUUGUCCCGUCUCCGCGCGUGGACUCGCCCCAAAGUGAUUGGCAGCCGGCGUACUGGUCCCGGAGCGCAGCACAUGUCGCGCAAACGAGUGCCUUGGUACGGCGGCGUCCAUAAGCCCCUCUCUCACGCUCUUGACCUCGGAUCAGGUAGGGAUACCCGCUGAACUUAAGC